rnacentral:rRNA from 1 species
GAUGAACGCUAGCUACAGGCUUAACACAUGCAAGUCGAGGGACCGGCGCACGGGUGAGUCACACGUAUCCAACCUGCCCUUUACUCGGGGAUAGCCUUUCGAACGAAAGAUUAAUACCCGAUAUAAAGGCUGGGGAUGCGUUCCAUUAGGUUGUUUGUGAGGUAACGGCCCACCAAGCCUUCGAUGGAUAGGGGUUCUGAGAGGAAGGUCCCCCAGAGUGGAACUGAGACACGGUCCAAACUCCUACGGGAGGCAGCAGUGAGGAAUAGUGGGCAAUGGGCGGUAGCCUGAAACAGCCAAGUAGCGUGAAGGAUGAAGGGUUAUGGGUCGUAAACUUCUGUUAUAUAAGAAUAUGUAUUAGAUGAAUAAGGAUCGGCUAACUCCGUGCCAGCAGCCGCGGUAAUUC